GCCCUUGUAGCUCAGUCGUAGAGCGCUGCACUCGUAAUGCAGAGGUCCGCGGUUCAAUCCCGCGUGGGGGCA
rnacentral:tRNA from 1 species